ACUGGGAUUGAGAGACGGCCCAGACUCCUACGGGAGGCAGCAGUCGAGGAUAGUCUACAAUGGCCGAAAGGCUGAUAGUGCGACGCCGCGUGAACGAGGAAGCAUUUCGGUGUGUAAAGUUCUUUUCCAUGGGAGCAGGACACAGGUGGUGAACAGUCACCGGUGUUGGAUCAUACUAUGGGAAUAAGCCACGGCUAACUCCGUGCCAGCAGCCGCGGUAAUACGGGGGUGGCGAGCGUUGUCCGGAAUUACUAGGCGUAAAGGGCAGGUAGGCGGUCAUAUAAGUUAAUCGUUAAAGACCUAUGCUCACCAUAGGGAGGGCGGUUGAUACUGUAUGGCUGGAAGCGAGUGGGGGAAGACGGAAUUCCCGGUGUAGCGGUGGAAUGCGCAGAGAUCGGGAGGAACACCUAAGGCGAAGGCAGUCUUCUAUGCUUUGCUUGACGCUAAACUGCGAAGGUGCGGGUAUCAAACAGGAUUAGAUACCCUGGUAGUCCGCACAGUAAACGAUAAUCACUAGGUGUUGGCAGGAUAUACCUGUCAGUGCCGUAGCAAACGCGGUAAGUGAUUCGCCUGGGGAGUACGAUCGCAAGGUUGAAACUCAAAGGAAUUGACGUCAGCUCGUGUCGUGAGAUGUUGGGUUAAGUCCCGCAACGAGCGCAACCCCUUUCUUCAGUUGCCAUCAUUAAGUUGGGAACUCUGGAGAGACCGCUGCAGUAACAAUGCAGAGGAAGGUGGGGACGACGUCAAGUCAUCAUGGUCCUUAUGUCCGGGGCGACACACGUGCUACAAUGGCAGUUACAGAGGGAAGCUAAGGGGUGACCUGGAGCGAAUCUCAGAACAGCUGCCGCAGUUCGGAUUGGGGUCUGCAACUCGGCCCCAUGAAGCCGGAAUCGCUAGUAAUCGCGUAACAGCAUGACGCGGUGAAUACGUUCCCGGGCCUUGUACACACCGCCCGUCAAGUCAGCCGAGU
rnacentral:rRNA from 1 species